GCAUUAAUGGGGUAGUGGUAACCUGGGUCGUUGCCACAAAUGAGUCUCAUAAGUUUGUCUCGACCCGCCGGGGGUUCGAUUCCCCCUUAAUGCA